AUGAAAGGAUUAAUAUAUAUAGCUCAUAAUAACUACUUAGAAAGCAUGUAAUAUCCAGCUAUUAAAUACAAAUUAACUCUAAGAUGUUCAUACCAUCUCCACCACCAAACUGCACAAUUCAAAUCACUCCUAUAAAUCAUGUCAGUCAGAUUGUGAAACCAAACUUACAGUACCUUGGAUUUUGUAGUACCUUUCAGCACCUAAGGAAACAGGCUGUAUCAGGCAUAGGUUUAUAGAGCAAAUGGCUUUCAGUGGCACCUCUGACCAUAAUCACCAAGACUAUAAAAAGUUGCCAAAUAUGACAAACAAAAUGAAUCUACUUCCUCUUCUGUUUCCUGGUUGUCCUACCUCCGUGCCAGGCUCUACCACUAACUCCCCACUAGACUCGUCAGGUAGACGUGCUCCUUCCCCUGAAGCACCUCAUCCUUCUUAAAUACAAUUGUCUCUCUUUCACAGUUAUUAACUAGGUAUUUGACAAGCAGAGUCAAGUAGUUCCUAAUAAGCUCAGCCAGGGAAGGUCUGUACCUGAAUAUUUCACUGGGCUGUGUAUAUAGAAGAUUGAACUGUAGUCAUGUCUCAUUUUCCCUUUUCACUCUACCAGACUCAGAAUUUCCAGCACAGGAGAGUGAACGGGCUGGGGCUCAAAAAUCAUCCCUUUCUUAGAGGCCCGUUAUUUGAUGUCUGCAUGGGACAGACUUCAUAUUCAAGCUUUGGAAAGGAUAUGCAAAAGAGCUGGGCCAACCUAAGAUGAAACUUCAGAAUUGAAAAUUGAUCCUGAACACAUGGACCAGUGUUAACACGUAGCACUCACUCUGUACGUACUACAGCUAAUCAUACCAAUGUCAACUGUUCCUAUUUUAUUGUAAUAAAUAAUACACUGAUUAAUACAGCUAAACUGCUUUCUAUAAUCUUA